GUGCCAGCCGCCGCGGUAAUACGUAGGGGGCGAGCGUUAUUCGGAAUUACUGGGCGUAAAGCGUGCGCAGGCGGUUUGGUAAGAUAGGCGUGAAAUCCCCGGGCUCAACCUGGGAACUGCGUUUAUAACUGGCUAGCUAGAGUAUGGCAGAGGGGGGUGGAAUUCCUCGUGUAGCGGUGAAAUGCGUAGAGAUGAGGAGGAACACCGAUGGCGAAGGCAACCCCCUGGGCCAAUACUGACGCUGAUGCACGAAAGCGUGGGUAGCGAACAGGAUUAGAUACCCUGGUAGUCCACGCCCUAA
rnacentral:rRNA from 1 species